UACGUAGGGGGCAAGCGUUGUCCGGAAUCAUUGGGCGUAAAGCGCGCGUAGGUGGCCUCAUAAGUCCGCUGUGAAAGUCAAAAGGCUCAACCUUUGAAAGCCGGUGGAUACUGUGAGGCUAGAGUACGGAAGAGGCGAGUGGAAUUCCUGGUGUAGCGGUGAAAUGCGUAGAGAUCGGGAGGAACACCUGUGGCGAAGGCGGCCCCCUGGGCCGGCCCUGACACUGAGACGCGAAGGCGUGGGGAGCGAACGGG
rnacentral:rRNA from 1 species